rnacentral:rRNA from 1 species
UAGGGAAUCUUCGGCAAUGGGGGGAACCCUGACCGAGCAACGCCGCGUGAGUGAAGAAGGUUUUCGGUACGUAAAGCUCUGUUGUUAAGGAAGAACGAGUGUGAGAAUGGAAAGUUCAUGCUGUGACGGUACUUAACCAGAAAGGGACGGCUAACUACGUGCCAGCAGCCGCGGUAAUACGUAGGUCCCGAGCGUUGUCCGGAUUUAUUGGGCGUAAAGCGAGCGCAGGCGGUUAGAAAAGUCUGAAGUGAAAGGCAGUGGCUCAACCAUUGUAGGCUUUGGAAACUGUUUAACUUGAGUGCAGAAGGGGAGAGUGGAAUUCCAUGUGUAGCGGUGAAAUGCGUAGAUAUAUGGAGGAACACCGGUGGCGAAAGCGGCUCUCUGGUCUGUAACUGACGCUGAGGCUCGAAAGCGUGGGGAGCGAACAGG